rnacentral:rRNA from 1 species
AGUCGAGGGGUAUUGGUUUUCGGACAAGAGACCGGCGCACGGGUGCGUAACGCGUAUGCAAUCUACCUUUCACAGAGGGAUAGCCCAGAGAAAUUUGGAUUAAUACCUCAUAGUAUUAUGACCCGGCAUCGGGAUGUAAUUAAAGUCACAACGGUGAAAGAUGAGCAUGCGUCCCAUUAGCUAGUUGGUAAGGUAACGGCUUACCAAGGCAACGAUGGGUAGGGGUCCUGAGAGGGAGAUCCCCCACACUGGUACUGAGACACGGACCAGACUCCUACGGGAGGCAGCAGUGAGGAAUAUUGGUCAAUGGGCGCAAGCCUGAACCAGCCAUGCCGCGUGCAGGAUGACGGUCCUAUGGAUUGUAAACUGCUUUUGUACGAGAAGAAACAACAUUACGUGUAAUGUCUUGACGGUAUCGUAAGAAUAAGGAUCGGCUAACUCCGUGCCAGCAGCCGCGGUAAUACGGAGGAUCCAAGCGUUAUCCGGAAUCAUUGGGUUUAAAGGGUCCGUANGCGGUCUAGUAAGUCAGUGGUGAAAGCCCAUCGCUCAACGGUGGAACGGCCAUUGAUACUGCUGGACUUG